rnacentral:rRNA from 1 species
AUUGAACGCUGGCGGCAGGCCUAACACAUGCAAGUCGAACGGUAGCACAGAGAGCUUGCUCUCGGGUGACGAGUGGCGGACGGGUGAGUAAUGUCUGGGAAACUGCCCGAUGGAGGGGGAUAACUACUGGAAACGGUAGCUAAUACCGCAUAACGUCGCAAGACCAAAGUGGGGACCUUCGGGCCUCACACCAUCGGAUGUGCCCAGAUGGGAUUAGCUAGUAGGUGGGGUAAUGGCUCACCUAGGCGACGAUCCCUAGCUGGUCUGAGAGGAUGACCAGCCACACUGGAACUGAGACACGGUCCGACCUCCGACGGGAGGCAGCAGUGGGGAAUAUUGCACAAUGGGCGCAAGCCUGAUGCAGCCAUGCCGCGUGUAUGAAGAAGGCCUUCGGGUUGUAAAGUACUUUCAGCGGGGAGGAAGGCGGUGAAGUUAAUAGCUUCACCGAUUGACGUUACCCGCAGAAGAAGCACCGGCUAACUCCGUGCCAGCAGCCGCCGUAA